AUUUUAAACCUCUUUUGUCAGGGAAGAAAAAAAUGACGGUACCUGAUGAAUAAGCAUCGGCUAACUCCGUGCCAGCAGCCGCGGUAAUACGGAGGAUGCAAGCGUUAUCCGGAAUUAUUGGGCGUAAAGCGUCCGCAGGUGGUCAAACAAGUCUGCCGUCAAAGACCAGAGCUUAACUCUGGAAAGGCGGUGGAAACUGUAAGACUAGAGACCGGUAGGGGUAGAGGGAAUUCCCAGUGUAGCGGUGAAAUGCGUAGAGAUUGGGAAGAACACCAGUGGCGAAGGCGCUCUACUGGGCCGGUACUGACACUCAGGGACGAAAGCUAGGGGAGCGAAAGGGAUUAGAUACCCCUGUAGUCCUAGCCGUAAAACGAUGGAUACUAGGCGUAGCUUGUAUCGACCCAAGCUGUGCCGAAGCUAACGCGUUAAGUAUCCCGCCUGGGGAGUACGCACGCAAGUGUGAAACUCAAAGGAAUUGACGGGGGCCCGCACAAGCGGUGGAGUAUGUGGUUUAAUUCGAUGCAACGCGAAGAACCUUACCAGGACUUGACAUGGCGCGAAUUCGGCCGAAAGGUGGAUGUGCCUUAAGGAACGCGCACACAGGUGGUGCAUGGCUGUCGUCAGCUCGUGUCGUGAGAUGUUGGGUUAAGUCCCGCAACGAGCGCAACCCUCGUUCUUAGUUGCCAGCAUUAAGGUGGGCACUCUAGGGAGACUGCCGGUGAUAAGCCGGAGGAAGGUGGGGAUGACGUCAAGUCAUCAUGCCCCUUACGUUCUGGGCUACACACGUACUACAAUGGUUGGGACAAAGGGCAGCAAGACCGCGAGGUGGAGCGAAUCCCAGCAAACCCAGCCUCAGUUCAGAUUGCAGGCUGCAACUGGCCUGCAUGAAGGAGGAAUCGCUAGUAAUCGCAGGUCAGCAUACUGCGGUGAAUCCGUUCCCGGGCCUUGUACACACCGCCCGUCACACCAUGGGAGCUGGCCACGCCCGAAGUGGUUACCCUAACCAGCAAUG
rnacentral:rRNA from 1 species